ensembl:snoRNA
ACUCUCCAGCUUCUUUCCCCAUCGGAUCUAAACACUGGUCUGAGUGGUUACAAAAGGAGAAAAAGUAACAUUGACACUGACCUUAUUGCUUUUGUAGCACAUGGGUUCAUUUCAAACAAAU